UACGGAGGGGGCUAGCGUUGUUCGGAAUUACUGGGCGUAAAGCGUGCGUAGGCGGACCUGCAAGUCGGGGGUGAAAGCCCGAGGCUCAACCUCGGAACUGCCUUCGAUACUGCGGGUCUCGAGUCCGGGAGAGGUGAGUGGAAUUCCUAGUGUAGAGGUGAAAUUCGUAGAUAUUAGGAAGAACACCAGUGGCGAAGGCGGCUCACUGGCCCGGUACUGACGCUGAGGUGCGAAAGCGUGGGGAGCAAACAGG
rnacentral:rRNA from 1 species